CCUACGGGUGGCAGCAGUGAGGAAUAUUGGUCAAUGGGCGAGAGCCUGAACCAGCCAAGUCGCGUGAGGGAGUACUGCCCUAUGGGUUGUAAACCUCUUUUGUCGGGGAGCAAAAGCCGGACGUUUCCGGCUGUGAGAGUACCCGAAGAAAAAGCAUCGGCUAACUCCGUGCCACCAGCCGCUGUAAUACGGAGGAUGCGAGCGUUUUCCGGAUUUAGUGGGUUUAAAGGGUGCGCAGUCGGAUUUUUAAGUCAGCGGUAAAGUCGUGGGGCUCCAACCCAUCCAGCCGUUGGAACUGGGGAUCUAGAGUGUGCGAGAGGUAUGCGGAAUGCGUGGUGUAGCGGUGAAAUGCAUAGAUAUCACGCAGAACCCCGAUUGCGAAGGCAGCAUACCGGUGCACAACUGACGCUCAGGCACGAAAGCGUGGGUAUCGAACAGGAUUAGAUACCCGAGUAGUC
rnacentral:rRNA from 1 species